CCUAGCUUCAGCUGGACAUAUACAAAAAUUGGAACGAUACAGAGAAGAUUAGCAUGGCCCCUGCCCAAGGUCAAAAUUUUCAUUUUUCUGUCCACCUUAUAUAU